rnacentral:rRNA from 1 species
GAUGAACGCUGGCGGCGUUCCUAAUACAUGCAAGUCGAGCGAACAGAUGAGGAGCUUGCUCCUCUGACGUUAGCGGCGGACGGGUGAGUAACACGUGGAUAACCUACCUAUAAGACUGGGAUAACUUCGGGAAACCGGAGCUAAUACCGGAUAAUAUAUUGAACCGCAUGGUUCAAUAGUGAAAGACGGUUUUGCUGUCACUUAUAGAUGGAUCCGCGCCGAAUUAGCUAGUUGGUAAGGUAACGGCUUACCAAGGCAACGAUGCGUAGCCGACCUGAGAGGGUGAUCGGCCACACUGGAACUGAGACACGGUCCAGACUCCUACGGGAGGCAGCAGUAGGGAAUCUUCCGCAAUGGGCGAAAGCCUGACGGAGCAACGCCGCGUGAGUGAUGAAGGUCUUCGGAUCGUAAAACUCUGUUAUUAGGGAAGAACAAAUGUGUAAGUAACUAUGCACGUCUUGACGGUACCUAAUCAGAAAGCCACGGCUAACUACGUG